rnacentral:rRNA from 1 species
AGGUCUUGACAUCCCGAUGACCGGUGUAGAGAUACACCUUCUCUUCGGAGCAUCGGUGACAGGUGGUGCAUGGUUGUCGUCAGCUCGUGUCGUGAGAUGUUGGGUUAAGUCCCGCAACGAGCGCAACCCUUAUUGUUAGUUGAUACAUUUAGUUGAUCACUCUAGCGAGACUGCCGUUGAUAAAACGGAGGAAGGUGGGGACGACGUCAAAUCAUCAUGCCCCUUAUGACCUGGGCUACACACGUACUACAAUGGCAGUCAUACAGAGGGAAGCAAAGCCGUGAGGUGGAGCAAAUCCCUAAAAGCUGUCUCAGUUCAGAUUGUAGGCUGCAACUCGCCUACAUGAAGUCGGAAUUGCUAGUAAUCGCGGAUCAGCAUGCCGCGGUGAAUACGUUCCCGGGCC